UCUUGAUUUAAGAAUGUUUAGAUAUUUGUACAGUAAAACAAGACAAAAGAAUACUGAGUGAGAAAAUCAUGUUUUGCAGUGUUAAACAUUUUUCUGUUUUUUGUUUGUUUGUUUGUUUGUUUGUUUUACUGUAUAUGGUAAGGUACCAAUGAAUCUUUUUCUGUAAAAAUUACACACUAUAUAAACAUUUUUUUUUUUUUACUUUCACAAGGUGAUCAUAUUUCAUAAAUUAAUCUCAUAUGCUUCCACACAAAUCAGCAAAUUUAUCUAACUGUGUCAGCGAGGGGCAGCUACAUGAAAGCUGACAGAUUCGUGCCAAAAACAGCCAGUGACAACUCGCUAAGUCUCAUCUCCCUGCCUUUUAUCAUUCAACGACACUCACCAUCCCACCGACGUGACAUGGGCGCCUGGAACAUUAACCUGAAAUCCUGUCACAUUCCCAGCUGUCAUCAGGCCUAGCUAAUAGCACAAGCAUGCCAGCGCUAUAAUUCAGAGAGGAGGAUUAGCUACACAACAUGUUUCAGCUCAACGGUGGGUCCAAGCCGCAAUCAGAAGGCUGUCGUAUUUAUGUGCGCUUACACUGGCGUCUCUCGAGUACGGUGAAGAGUGCAGAGCCAGAACAGAGGGGGCCGCUAUGUGUCGAGGGGGGCCAGGCUCUAUUAGCAACUGUCCUGCCAAGAGCAGUGCUCCAUACUCCAUACUAGACCUGAGUGCAAAUCCAGUGUCUGCUGUAGAGAGUUAUUCUCCAGAUGUGACUCUCCAACCCGUUUCUGGUGAAAGCCUUAACAUCUCAGAGCCUGUUUCACAAAGUGGAAGCAACUCCCAAGAUCUCUGGUUUGCACGAGGACAUCCGUUGACGUGUUCCACAACCUCUGUGACUUAAGUAUUUUUAUCCAAGGACACACUGGAUCCUGACUGGUUUGACUGGUAAAUGUGUGUGAGCACUGCUGACCUGAGCAUCUUUCCCACCAAAGGUGUGGUCUUUUUUGCAGAAGAGGAUGUCUUACAUUUCAGCAACUAUUGUUCUCGGAUUCCUCCUGGCAGCCAUCCCUCUCUCACUUCCAUAUACACACAUAUCACUUCCCUCAACCUGUUGACUUGAUAUGAGAAUCUGAAUCACUGGUUCUCAGUUCACAGAGAGUUCUGUCUGUUCUUCUUCUUUCUUUUUCUCUAGUUAAUGGGAAAACAGACUUUAAGAAAAAACAUGCAUCUCCUGAUUUCAAGAUUCAUAAUAUUCUUGUAACAAUAUGUGUCUGCAGCACACUCGACGAUGGAGUUCAGCAAACAAAGUAUUUUAUUCAAAAUAAUAAACAGGAGAUAUCCAAUGAAACACGGGAGAAAACGAAUGCAAACCGCAUAGAACUGAAACAACACAGAAAAAUGAUCUGAGUGAACAGAGGUCUUAAAGGAUUAGUUCACUUUCAAAUGAAAAUUACCCCAAGCUUUACACACCCUUAAGCCAUCAGUGUAUGACUUUCUUCUUUCUGUUGAACAUAAUCAGAGAAAU